rnacentral:rRNA from 1 species
AACGAACGCUGGCGGCGGGCUUAACACAUGCAAGUCGAACGGAGAGGCCCUGCUUGUGUGGGGUGCUCGAGUGGCGAACGGGUGUGUAACACGGGAGUAACCUUCCCUUUACUUGGGGAUAACUUCAGGGGACUGGGGCUAAUGCCGGAUAGGAGCGCCUGCUGCAUGGUGGGGUUUGGAAAGUUUGGGCGGUUGGGGGUGUACGGCCGGCUUAUCCGCUUGUUGGGGGGGUAGUGGCUUAGCAAGGCUUCGAGGGGUGGCCGGCCUGAGAGGGUGACCGGCCACAUUGGGACUGAGAUGAGGACCGGACUCCUACGGGAGGGAGCGGUGGGGAAGAGUGCACAAUGGGCGGCGGCCUGAUGCAGGAACGCCGCGUGGGGGAUGACGGUCAUCGGGUUGUAAACCGCUUUCGUCUGUGAUGAAGCGUGAGUGACGUUAAUGGGAAAAGAAGCACCGGCUAACUACGUG